GGAGCCAACGCAGGGAACUGAAACAUCUAAGUACCUGCAGGAAAAGAAAAUAACUAAUGAUUCCCUAAGUAGUGGCGAGCGAACAGGGAAGAGCCCAAACCGGAUCGAAGCAAUUCUAUCCGGGGUUGUAGGACUACUUUUAGAAAGUCAGAUCAAGUUGAAUCAUCUGGAAAGAUGAGCCGUAGCAGGUGAUAGCCCUGUAGACAGAAAUUCUGAUGGACGUGUAGUAUCCUGAGUAGUGCGGGACCGGAGGAAUCCUGUAUGAAACUGCCAGCACCAUCUGGUAAGGCUAAAUACUCCUUAGAUACCGAUAGUGAACCAGUACCGUAAGGGAAAGGUGAAAAGUACUCCGAACAGGAGAGUGAAAUAGUUCCUGAAACCGUGCGCUUACAAGCGGUCGGAGCUCGCAAGAGUGACGGCGUGCCUUUUGCAUAAUGAGCCUACGAGUUACUCCUCACUGGCAAGGUUAAGGUCUUCAGUACCGGAGCCGCAGCGAAAGCAAGUUCUAACAGAGCGAAUUAGUCAGUGGGGGUAGACGCGAAACUUUGUGAUCUAUCCAUGGGCAGGAUGAAGGUUAGGUAAAACUAACUGGAGGUCCGAACUCAUUAGCGUUGAAAAGCUAUGGGAUGACCUGUGGAUAGGGGUGAAAGGCCAAUCAAACUGAGAGAUAGCUCGUUCUCCCCGAAAUGUUUUUAGGAACAGCCUUGGAUAUAGACGUGUUAUAGAGGUAGAGCUACUAAUUGGGCUAGGGGGCUUCACCGCCUACCAAACCCUAAUAAACUCCGAAUGCUAUAACAUAAUCUCCAGGAGUGAGGCUGUGGGCGCUAAGGUCCAUGGCCGAGAGGGAAAUAACCCAGACUAACAGCUAAGGUCCCUAAUGAUAUGUUAAGUUGAUCAAACGCGGUUCAAAUCCUAAAACAGCCAGGAUGUUGGCUUGGAAGCAGCCAUUCAUUUAAAGAGUGCGUAACAGCUCACUGGUCGAGGGUUUGGGCACGGAAAAUAAUCGGGCAUCAAACAUAUAACCGAAGCUUUAGGCCUAGUA
rnacentral:rRNA from 1 species